rnacentral:rRNA from 1 species
CGUGUGCCUUGGUAGUCUCAGAGAGUUGAUUAUGGCUCAGGAUGAACGCUGGCGGCGUGCCUAACACAUGCAAGUCGAACGGGGUGUCAGCUCUUCGGAACAGACACUUAGUGGCGGACGGGUGAGUAACGCGUGGGUAACCUGCCUCAUACAGGGGGAUAGCAGUUGGAAACGACUGAUAAUACCGCAUAAGCGCACAGUACCGCAUGGUACAGUGUGAAAAAACUCCGGUGGUAUGAGAUGGACCCGCGUCUGAUUAGCUUGUUGGCGGGGUAACGGCCCACCAAGGCGACGAUCAGUAGCCGGCCUGAGAGGGUGAACGGCCACAUUGGGACUGAGACACGGCCCAAACUCCUACGGGAGGCAGCAGUGGGGAAUAUUGCACAAUGGGGGAAACCCUGAUGCAAGCGACGCCGCGUGAAGGAUGAAGUAUUUCGGUAUGUAAACUUCUAUCAGCAGGGAAGAUGAUGACGGUACCUGACUAAGAAGCCCCGGCUAACUACGUGCCAGCAGCGGC